rnacentral:rRNA from 1 species
GGGUGCGGUCAUACCAAUGUUAAUGCACCGGAUCCCAUCAAAACUCCGCAGUUAAGCGCGCUUGGGCUAGAGUAGUACUGGGAUGGGUGACCUCUCGGGAAGUCCUAGUGUUUCACCCU